UACGUAGGGGGCGAGCGUUGUCCGGAUUUACUGGGCGUAAAGCGCGUGUAGGCGGCCCGUUAAGUGGGGUGUGAAAGCCCGGGGCUCAACCCCGGGACGCCGCUUCAAACUGGCGGGCUUGAGGACGGAAGAGGGGAGUGGAAUUCCUGGUGUAGCGGUGAAAUGCGUAGAGAUCAGGAGGAACACCCGUGGCGAAGGCGGCUCCCUGGUCCGUCCCUGACGCUGAGACGCGAAAGCGCGGGGAGCGAACGGG
rnacentral:rRNA from 2 species